rnacentral:rRNA from 1 species
CUGGCCCUAAACGAUGAAUACUUGGUGUCUGGAGACUUAAUGCUCCGGGUGCCGUCGCUAACGUUUUUAGUAUUCCGCCUGGGGAGUACGCUCGCAAGAGUGAAACUCAAAGGAAUUGAC